rfam:Sulfurovum sp. AS07-7 Sequence0000000897, whole genome shotgun sequence.
UGUGGUGGCUUUAGAGAGAGAGAUACACUCAGCUCCAUACCGAACCUGAAAGUUAAGCUUCUCAUCGCCGAUAAUACUGCAUCUGUCUGGUGUGGGAAUGUAGGUCGCUGCCAUUU